AUUGAACGCUGGCGGCAGGCCUAACACAUGCAAGUCGAGCGGGGUUUUCGGACCUAGCGGCGGACGGGUGAGUAAUGCGUAGGAAGCUGCCCGAUAGAGGGGGAUACCAGUUGGAAACGACUGUUAAUACCGCAUAAUGUCUACGGACCAAAGUGUGGGACCUUCGGGCCACAUGCUAUCGGAUGCGCCUACGUGGGAUUAGCUAGUUGGUGAGGUAAUGGCUCACCAAGGCGACGAUCUCUAGCUGGUUUGAGAGGAUGAUCAGCCACACUGGAACUGAGACACGGUCCAGACUCCUACGGGAGGCAGCAGUGGGGAAUAUUGGACAAUGGGCGCAAGCCUGAUCCAGCCAUGCCGCGUGUGUGAAGAAGGCCUUCGGGUUGUAAAGCACUUUCAGCGAGGAGGAAGGGGUGUGUGUUAAUAGUACACACCUUUGACGUUACUCGCAGAAGAAGCACCGGCUAACUCUGUGCCAGCAGCCGCCGUAAAAC
rnacentral:rRNA from 1 species